rnacentral:snRNA from 1 species
GGAUCAAAAUUCAUGGAUCAAG